GAUGACUAGCAGUCAGAGGUGAGAAGAGGAUUUUUACUUUUUCAUGCUUGUGGAACUUAAAUUUUUGUACCAGGAAUUACAACUAAAUCAAGUACAAAAGCAAACAUGUCUGAAAUAUCAGUGGGCCUCGAAGCAGGUCUACUUUCCAGACUCAGUGGCGGGGUCAAGAGCUGCCUGAGAUACAACACAGAAGGGUGAACCUGUGCAAAGCCUUGCCCAUAUGCUGGGUAGGGUUCCCCGGAAGUCUUAAUGAAAGAGGCAGAACAGUUCUACUCUCUGAGAAGCCACUCAACCAAUGGAAGGGAAGAAUGAAGAAAACGGAGGAGAGGGACAGAGGGAAGGAGCCAGGGAGUUCCUGUGUGGAGGUUGAUCUGGUCUCUAAGUCCUUUUCUUCCCUGUUGAAGAGGAUGUUGUCGAGAGCCAGGACCAGUGCCCAGUGACCUCCUCCACCGUGUCAGAGGGCUCAUCCACCUUCCCCAGACCCACUUUUCGACUCCUGCAAACCAGAACAGGCCACAGGCUGUGAAUAAAUACUUCAGAGAAGAACGAGAGAAAACUACAGUCGUAACAAAUGGGUCACUGCUGAGAGACAUGGGUUAGGACACAGUAGCUGUACCUGAGAUGAGCAAGCUCUAUGGCUGUCCUUACUAUCAUGAAAACCAGCUGGUACGUGACAGAUGCAAUUUUAUCAGCUCAAAUCCUAUAAUUCUUUCUUUCAACAGUGAGC